CUCUGAAAUGGGGGUCUCAUGACCUACAGUCGAACAAGAUUCCAAAUAUCAGUGAAACAGCUGAUGCCAACCAGCUAGAAGACUCUUACAAAGGAACAGAAUUGGAAUAAUUAAUAUAGUUUCUUCAUCUCCCUGUCCCGUGACUUCACCUGCACUCUUGACCAAUCAACGAUAUCCACAUUUGCACCCAUUUCAAAACCUUUAAGAGCCCUAGCCCCAAACUCCUUGGGGAGAUUGAUUUGAGGUUCCCUCCCAUCUCCUUGUUCUGUGACCCUAUGGUUAAAUCUUUUUCUAUGCUAUAACCCAGUGUCUCAGCGUAUUGACUUGCCACAUGCAUCAGUCAAUGAACCUAUUAUGGUUACAUGUUUACCCCAAAUUCUGUCUUUAGAUUCUUCAAUUUAGUCAAAAUUUUUCCUUUUAGACAGACAAAAAAGGCAGAAAAAAUAAUGUGCUGUCACAGUGCUCACAUCAAAAUUCCUUGACAAAAUUAAGUUUUUAUUUCUCACUCACAUGACCAUAUAAUCAAUUUAGACAGUUGUCCUCAAGGAGAUGACUCUGGAUCUCAGCUAAUUCCACCCUGUG
rnacentral:lncRNA from 10 species